UUGGUUAUGAAGUGGAGCUCCUUUCGUUCCAAUGAAAGGUUUAUCUGAAGGGUGAUACAGCUGCUUGUUCAUGGUUCCCACUAUUCUAUCUCAUAGGAAAAGAGAUAGGCUUGUGGUUUGCAUGACCAAGGAGCCGAAUCAACUCCUUGCUGACCACUCUUUGGAUUGAAGGGAGCUCUGCAUCUUGAUCCCAUAUAGUA
rnacentral:pre_miRNA from 1 species